UUGGAGGGCAAGUCUGGUGCCAGCAGCCGCGGUAAUUCCAGCUCCAAUAGCGUAUAUUAAAGUUGCUGCAGUUAAAAAGCUCGUAGUUGAAUUUCGGGACCAAUAUGUCGGUCGUGCCUCGGUACGUACUGGCAUCGUUGGUUUCUCCCUUCUGACGAACCAUGAUGUCAUUUAUUUGGUGUCGUGGGGAAUCAGGACUGUUACUUUGAAAAAAUUAGAGUGUUUAAAGCAGGCUCACGCUUGAAUACAUUAGCACGGAAUAAUGAAAUAGGACGUUUGAUUCUAUUUUGUCGGUUUCUAGGAUUGACGUAAUGAUUAAUAGGGAUAGUUGGGGGCAUUAGUAUUCAAUUGUCAGAGGUGAAAUUCUUGGAUUUAUUGAAGACUAACUACUGCGAAAGCAUUUGCCAAGGAUGUUUUCAUUAAUCAAGAACGAAAGUUAGGGGAUCGAAGACGAUCAGAUACCGUCGUAGUCUUAACCAUAAACUAUGCCGACUAGGGAUCGGAUGAUGUUAAUUUUUUAAUGACUCAUUCGGCACCUUACGGGAAAC
rnacentral:rRNA from 1 species